rnacentral:lncRNA from 1 species
GGGAUGGGAACCCAUGGAGAGCGGAACCAUAGAGAUGGGAACCCAUACAGAUAGGAACCAUAGAGAUGGGAACCAUAUAGACGGGAACCACAGAGAUGGGAACCCAUGGAGAGUGGAACCGUAGGGAUGGGAACCAUAGAGAUGGGAACCCAUGGAGAGUGGAACCAUAAAGGUGGGAACCAUAGGGAUGGGAACCCAUGGAGAGUGGAACCAUAGAGAUGGGAACCAUAGAGACGGGAACCCAUGGAGAGUGGAACCAUAGAGACAGGAACCAUAGGGAGCUGAACUAUAGAGAUGGGAACCAUAGAGAUGGGAACCCAUGGAGAGCAGAACCAUGGAGAUGAGAACCCACGGAAAGCAGAACCACAGAGAGCAGAACCGUAGGGAGCUGAACUAUAGAGAUGGGAACCAUAGAGA